AACCUUAUAUUUUUAUAUAAUGUAUCGUAAUAACUAUUAAUGUCUAAUAAAUUUCAUGCAUGCUUUAUAAAUCGUUUAUAAAAUUAUAAAUAAAUUUAUAAAAUUAUUUAUAUUGGCUUAUCAGAUGUUUACAUAUCAUUAAACCUUUUCUUAACUCCAUCCUCUUUCCUCCUCUGAAAACCCAUCUUCUUAAACUUCAGCUGAAUCCAAACGUCUUUAACGCCAUUGUUAAACGUCUUUGAACUUUGAUGUGUUCAUCAAAGUUAUUGAGGGUCGUUUUCAGUAACCGAGAAUGCCAAUCGAUGAUUACGAGAAUUCUGCGAAAUCAAGCCUAAGAAAAAAAAAACGUGGUAUUUCAUAUAAUACCUUUUUCUGGCAUGCUCUGUUUCUUUUAAAGCAUCUAAGUACUUUGUUCCGUAUACCCAACAAAGGGGUUUGGUUUUAUCUUGAAGAACUGGAACAAUGCUCUUUGGGAAGAGUAUUUCAUCUUAUGCGACAAGUUUGAUUCUGCAAGUAAUUUACUUUAUUUGGUGUCACUAAUUUGUACAAUACGAUUUUCUUUUAUAUACCAGUCUUAAACUUUUAACCCACAUAAUUCCAUAUAAAUAGUGAGAAAGAAUCUAAAACAUUAAUGGGUUUUAAUAUGAUUCCUAUAAUGAUAACUUUUUGAAAUUGAAGUAUAAAAGGUGAAAAUUUUGAAGUUCAGUUGUGGUUUAAGAGAUAUGUUUAAAUGUUCUCUUGGAGUAUAUAUAUAAUCGUAUACCAAAUGUUUAUGUUCUGGAACAGAUAAUCAAAUCUGUAUUGGUUUUGGUGAGGGAGCUGGUGGACCAGAGGAGGGAGAUAUGCAAAAGACUGCCAUGGGUGAAGCCUCUGCUUAAAGAGCAGUUCUUUGUUCACUGCAAGUUUCAUGUACUCUCACAAGGGUGAUUGCAAUAUGUAUUACUUAGACUGCACCAGUGGCGAGCUUUGCUCUCUUUGUCUUUUCCAUCGCAAAGACCAUCCAAUCCAAUGUGUCCAUAUGAUGAAGGAAAAUUGAAUAUGGAUCUUGAGGUUUGAAUGAUAAGUGUCUGCAUUCAGCUUGGUUUUGAGAACCAAUCAGACACUGUCAUACUUCUGUGCAAAUGUCUUCGUCAAGAUAUCAGUAGGAGAUGGAUCACAAAGGAGGACAAGGAAUCUGAAGUUUGGCAGUAUAAUCUAGGAUGAUGCAAAGGAUCUUUCUGAUUUUGUUCUCUUUCUUCUCUUAACAUGUUAGUCGGAUAACGUCGUUCCUAUGAUGAGUAUUGUAUGAUUAUAAGUGAUAACAUUUACUUGGGAUAAUGUUUUUUUCCUUCUCGCUUUAUACUUUCUGUAAAGUUAUGACGUUCAGUUGUACCAAGUACCAACUACGGAAGAUGUUAAAAGGAAGGAGUGGUGUGGUAGAUGUCAUGAAUAACAACCUUAAUAGAACUC